ACAAUUGGUUUUAUUAUUAUUAUUUUUUUUUUUUUUCUUCCGCCAACUUUUUUUUCCUUCGCUGUUUUUUUGUUUCACAAGAUAUCGCUUAGAUAUAAGGUAAAUGAUAUCGAACAGUUAAUACGCUUCUGAAACUGACACCGCGUAACAAAAAACUGUACCUUGUAAGAGUUAUCUCCCCGAACACUGUUUUUCUUGUGGCCACUACUCCUUCGCAACCGUAUAAGAAACCGACAAAUUUAUUUUUCCAAAUUGCUCGUUAUAUCCUUAGGAUGUUCUGUUUCAUUUCAAC
rnacentral:lncRNA from 1 species